rnacentral:rRNA from 1 species
UACGUAGGGUGCAAGCGUUAAUCGGAAUUACUGGGCGUAAAGCGUGCGCAGGCGGUUUUGUAAGUCAGAUGUGAAAUCCCCGGGCUUAACCUGGGAACUGCGUUUGAAACUACAAGGCUAGAGUGUGGCAGAGGGGGGGUGGAAUUCCUAGUGUAGAGGUGAAAUUCGUAGAUAUUAGGAAGAACACCAGUGGCGAAGGCGGCUCACUGGCCCGGUACUGACGCUGAGGCGCGAAAAGCUAGGGUAGCAAACGGGG